rnacentral:tRNA from 1 species
GAAGAGAUGACUGAGCGGUUAAAAGUGGCAGAUUGUAAAUCUGUUGGAUAAUUCCAUCGUAGGUUCGAAUCCUACUCUCUUCA